AAGUCGUAACAAGGUUUCCGUAGGUGAACCUGCGGAAGGAUCAUUACAAAUCCAUCCACGUCUCAUACCCGAGACCACGUUGAAAUGUUCCCCAGACCAGGGCGCACGCCGUUCCCACGCUUUCAGACUCCUCGGAGCCUGCCUGCUGGGACGCUGCCGAGCUCUGGACUGGGCUGUUAAACUAGUGUUACGUUGUUGCUCAAAUGUAUCUUGAUUUCAAUCAAACGAAAACUUGUACAACUUAUAACAAUGGAUCUCUAGGCUCUU
rnacentral:misc_RNA from 1 species